UACGUAGGGGGCUAGCGUUGUCCGGAAUCAUUGGGCGUAAAGAGCGCGUAGGCGGCUAGAUAAGUCCGGUGUGAAAGUCACAGGCUCAACCUGUGAAUGCCGCUGGAAACUGUCUGGCUAGAGUCCGGAAGGGGCGAGUGGAAUUCCCGGUGUAGCGGUGAAAUGCGCAGAUAUCGGGAGGAACACCAAUGGCGAAGGCAGCUCGCUGGGACGGUACUGACGCUGAGACGCGAAAGCGUGGGGAGCAAACAGG
rnacentral:rRNA from 1 species